AACUUGGGACGCCAGAGUAAAAACUGCCGCAGAGCUUAAGGGAGGCUCUGCAUUUGCCCAGGUUAGGGAGCCAUCGUUAAAGCUUUGGGGGAAGAAAGCUCUAAAAGGAGAAUCUCCCAGUGACCUUGGUGGCUUGAUUCACUUGCAGGAUGCUGUUCUGAGGGCCAGCAACUCGAAGGGAUGCAGCUCAGCCCGUUUUGUUGACUUCGGUGAUGCUGUUUUGAGGAAGCAUGUGCCGAAGCCCAGUCGGGCAGUCGAAGGAGCCUUGUCACAGCUGGGAGCUCUGCGGAGAUGCGCGGCUGGCCAUGGAGAGUGAGCUCUGACUUGCAGCGUGGACACAGCUAAGUCCUGGGCUGCAUCAUAUGUGAGCAGUGCUGGGAGAUGCGAGGUGAUUGUUCCCUAGGUGGUCACUGGUGUCACUGGCUGUGGCUGUUUGCCCAUGGAGCUGAGGACCAAAAAUGUUAAUUGUCUGACCCGGAGAUGAAUUAGUGCUUGCAGUGCUUCAGGUAGGUUCAGUGCAAGUGCAGCUUAGUGCAGUCCUGUGGAGUGAUUCUUGCACAUGCUCACAUUUGAAUGGUGGCUAAAACCAAGCCUCUAAACAGCAGCUGUAACGUGAUUCUGGUGCAUGUCUUCCUGUUCUGCUGUGCUUCUAGAAGAAGGGAAAACUUCUUAAGCUGUGGGCAAAACUCCUUGCCUUCUCUUUACUGUUUUCAUGCAUAUGGGUGCUUUGGUGUUUGUUGCUUAAAGCUGAGGGUUUGGAAUUUUUCACUUAAGGUUUAUUGUUUAGUUUGUUGUUGAGGGUCUCUCACUCCGGAGUUACAGUUUAUUCCUUUCUUUUGUGGGGCUCAGUCUUUAUCAGUCAGGGUUUACAGUUUGCUCGUUUAGUGAUCAGGGCGCAGAAUUUAAAAUCCAACCUUAGCCAUAAAUUUUAAAGUCU